rnacentral:rRNA from 1 species
UACAGAGGUCUCAAGCGUUGUUCGGAUUCAUUGGGCGUAAAGGGUGCGUAGGCGGCGCGGUAAGUCGGGGGUGAAAUCUUGGAGCUUAACUCCGAAACUGCAUUCGAUACUGCCGUGCUUGAGGACUGGAGAGGAGACUGGAAUUUACGGUGUAGCGGUGAAAUGCGUAGAGAUCGUAAGGAAGACCAGUGGCGAAGGCGGGUCUCUGGGCCAGUUCUGACACUCAUCCGCGAAAGCGUGGGGAGCAAACAGG